rnacentral:rRNA from 1 species
UACGGGGGGAGCAAGCGUUGUUCGGAUUUACUGGGCGUAAAGGGCGCGUAGGCGGUCAGCACAAGUCAGUUGUGAAAUCUCCGGGCUUAACUCGGAAAGGUCAACUGAUACUGUGCGACUAGAGUGCGGAAGGGGCAACUGGAAUUCUCGGUGUAGCGGUGAAAUGCGUAGAUAUCAGGAGGAACACCGGUGGCGAAGGCGGGUCUCUGGGCCGAUACUGACGCUGAGGAGCGAAAGCGUGGGGAGCGAACAGG